GAUGGACGCUGGCGGCGUGCCUAGUACAUGCAAGUCGAGCGAACGGACGAGAAGCUUGCUUCUCUGAUGUUAGCGGCGGACGGGUGAGUAACACGUGGAUAACCUACCUAUAAGACUGGGAUAACUUCGGGAAACCGGAGCUAAUACCGGAUAAUAUUUUGAACCGCAUGGUUCAAAAGUGAAAGACGGUCUUGCUGUCACUUAUAGAUGGAUCCGCGCUGCAUUAGCUAGUUGGUAAGGUAACGGCUUACCAAGGCAACGAUGCAUAGCCGACCUGAGAGGGUGAUCGGCCACACUGGAACUGAGACACGGUCCAGACUCCUACGGGAGGCAGCAGUAGGGAAUCUUCCGCAAUGGGCGAAAGCCUGACGGAGCAACGCCGCGUGAGUGAUGAAGGUCUUCGGAUCGUAAAACUCUGUUAUUAGGGAAGAACAUAUGUGUAAGUAACUGUGCACAUCUUGACGGUACCUAAUCAGAAAGCCACGGCUAACUACGUG
rnacentral:rRNA from 1 species